ensembl:processed_transcript
AUCCGGGUCCAGUGUCCCCCCUCACAUCGUGGUGGACAUCAGCAAGGAGCCGCUGCCCAAGGAGCCCCGGAGGAAGAAGCCCAGGCACUGAGCCAUCCAAGUGCCAGAUGGAGGAUCAUGGGCGCGAAGAAGCUCCUCAGACAGGAAGUGAAGAGCAGUACUUUGGGAAGCCCUGCUGCUGCUGCUGAGCUUCUAGAGCACUUGCAGUCCAGAUACUGGAUCUCUGCUCACCUGCACUCGACUCAACACUGAUGCAGCACCAGAUUGCAGAUUGUGGAGGAAGCUCCUACGUGAAGCUUGAGCUUGAUCCAGAAUGGCUGGCCAUCCUGAAACGACCUUCGAAAGCCAUCCCGCAGUUUCUGGAACCCUCCGCUGGACAACAGACUACACAGCAGAGACAAAAUACAUUACAAUGAUCACAGCUGUUCAUUUUCUGAUAGCUUGCUGAUACCAUAUUCAAUUCCAUUUCUAAGUAUUUUAGCAUCCUGUUCCUCUGCUUCUUUCAGGUGGCAUUUCAGUCCAUCUACAUCCUGCUGGGCAAAGCGGACAGACUUACAGGGAGGAGUUUAUUCAGCCUUCUUCGAUGACUAGAAUAUUUAGAAGAA